rnacentral:rRNA from 1 species
CCUACGGGACGCAGCAGUCGAGAAUCAUUCACAAUGGGGGAAACCCUGAUGGUGCGACGCCGCGUGGGGGAAUGAAGGUCUUCGGAUUGUAAACCCCUGUCAUGUGGGAGCAAAUUAAAAAGAUAGUACCACAAGAGGAAGAGACGGCUAACUCUGUGCCAGCAGCCGCGGUAAUACAGAGGUCUCAAGCGUUGUUCGGAAUCACUGGGCGUAAAGCGUGCGUAGGCUGUUUCGUAAGUCGUGUGUGAAAGGCCCGGGCUCAACCCGCGGAAGGCACAUGAUACUGGGAGACUAGAGUAAUGGAGGGGGAACCGGAAUUCUCGGUGUAGCAGGGAAAUGCGUAGAUAUCGAGAGGAACACUCGUGGCGAAGGCGGGUUCCUGGACAUUAACUGACGCUGAGGCACGAAGGCCAGGGGAGCGAAAGGGAUUAGAUACCCUGGUAGUC